rnacentral:rRNA from 1 species
AUUGAACGCUGGCGGCAGGCCUAACACAUGCAAGUCGAGCGGAUGAAGGGAGCUUGCUCCUGGUUUCAGCGGCGGACGGGUGAGUAAUGCCUAGGAAUCUGCCUGGUAGUGGGGGAUAAUGUCCGGAAACGGGCGCUAAUACCGCAUACGUCCUGAGGGAGCAAGUGGGGGAUCUUCGGACCUCACGCUAUCAGAUGAGCCUAGGUCGGAUUAGCUAGUUGGUGGGGUAAAGGCCUACUAAGGCGACGAUCCGUAACUGGUCUGAGAGGAUGAUCAGUCACACGAGAACGUGAACAGGGUCCAGGCUCCUACGGGAGGGAGCAGUGGGGAAUAUUGGACAAUGGGCGAAAGCCUGGUCCAGCCGGGCCGCGUGUGUGAAGAAGAUCUUCGGAUUGUAAAGCACUUUAAGUUGGGAGGAAGGGCAGUAAGUUAAUACCUUGCUGUUUUGACGUUACCAACAGAAGAAGCACCGGCUAACUUCGUG